rnacentral:misc_RNA from 1 species
UCUAAACGAAAUACUCAAUAAUGGCGGUUCAGAAUUUGUCUGUGAAUGUUAGUGGUUGUUUCCUAUCAUCGAUAUUCUAUGAAUUGGUUAGUGGUAACGGCGAUCAGGAUGGAUUUCUGCUGGGAGAAGUUGUCAGUCGAAUCACUGACACCAUCAGUGACUCACAGAUACAGGGAGAAAAAGAAGAGACAUGCUUGAACGUUUAUGAAUUCAUCUCUUGUGACAAAUUGUUCAGCUACUAUAAUUCAAAAGGUCAAAUAGUGCUAGAGCUGUUGGAUGAAAUUCUCAAUGGAAGAAAAAAGGAUGUGAUUGGUUGGUUCAAAUUUCGCCGUAAUUCAAGUCUUUCUAUUUCCAUAAGAGAACGUGCUCUCCAUCAUAACCUGGCUUCAAACUUACCACUGUAUGACAAGUUUUUUAUUUUUGGCCUUUUUUCUGCAUUUGUGUCAACUAAUGACUCCACGUAUAGUUUUGAUCAUGUUUUCCUUCGUUACACAGGCUGGAAGUUUGAGCCUGUGACCCUGAAAGUUGUAAACUUAGGAGACACGAGCCACUCAGAAUAUAGGCUUUACCCAACAACUGCAGCUAAUAUGCAUAGUGGUCAGUUUAGUCAAAUUGUUCGAUCAGCUGGGGCCUCCUGCACCGAGGAAGAUAAAAGUUCUGUCAGACAGGUACAAGGAAUUCAUUCGGCCUUGCAUUCUAAAUUAUGGGAGCUGCAAGAAGAAGUAGGUGAAAGUGAAGCAAUGGUUGCCUCAAUGACACAAGAAAUAGAUGAACUACGGGCUAGAAUAGCUUCUUUAGAGACAAUAAAAGGUGCCUUAGUUACAAACUUUCUUGUUGAGGAAGAAGAGGAAAUCGACAUGUCAGAAAAAGUAAUGUCACCAUUAGUGCCUCAAGAUCCAUUUGAAUUCAUAACAGAUGUAAAACUGCAGAUGGGACAAGAAGCACAAUUAAAAAGAAUGGCAUCAUUAACCAAAAUGGCAUCACAGUCUCAGGAGCAGUUGGAGGAAAUGGUAUCGUCCGAUGAUGCAAUGAAAUAAAAUUUCACAAGAAACACCCUGAGUGAGAAACCAUGAUUAAUGGAGCAAGAAGAGCAAAGUUUGCUAUAUCUGUUGCAGUUAUAAGGUGCUAAAACAAUCACACGAUAAAGAUGUGGAUUGAGAUGUGAGUAUAAAUUGAUUACCUAGGAUGAAUGAUUGAUUCAUACCAACAUCUAACCGAAGUUCUAUUCUAGUCAAAUGUUGUCCAAGUUUUUACUUUGUUUUGAUACUCUUGUUCAUUUACUUUUCAUACAGUCUUGUGAAAUUACUUCUUUUUACAGUGAUUUACUAUUGUAGUUUAGAAAAUAUUUUUUAUUUUUUGCUUCAAAAAGAUCAUUGAAACCAUUUCAUUAUGGUUAAAACUUAAUGUUACUGGGAAAAAAAUAACAUUUCAACUCUUUGCUUUAGAUUAUUUUAAGAAAUGUUGUUGUAGGAAAUAUAUUAUUAUUAUUUCUUUUUGAGAAAUUGCUAAACUUUCUCACUAAUACCAUUCUCAAAAUGUAUUGUGGGUUAUUUUUGAAGUAAUACCUAUAUCAUUCUGAAAGUUUGUUGUGGAUUACCAUUCUGAAAACUGUAUUGUGGGUUAUUGUUUAAAGGUUUACUGUUGUGGAUUAUUGUUGAAAAAUUACCCAUACCAUUCUGAAAAGUGUACUAUGGAUUGUUGUUGAAACGUUAGCCAUACUAUUCUGAAAGUGUUAUUUUGUAUUAUUAUUAAAACUUGAAUGCUAUUUUGAUACAAAUCCAAUGACUUCAAAAUUUAGUAUCGAUAAUUGUUUACUUAAAUGUUGUAUACUAAUGUGUAUUGUAUAAUAUAAGCAUGUGUUUUAUAAUGUAUACUCAAUAUCAGUAGUAAUAUUUUGGUUUGAACUAUAAUAUGAAUGUUAAGAAGUUGGUUUACAAGUACAUGAGAAACAAAAUUGAAAAUGUUUUGUUUUUUUUCACCAAACAUUAAUUUCUUUUUAUGCAAAAAAUUAUAUUUAAAACCCCUUUUUGUUAUGUUAAACUAAACAGUUUUGGUCAGUAUCUAUUUCAUUGAUUUUUGUACUUCUCUCAGUAACUGAUAAGAAAGAAAGAAAACAUUAAACAUCAGCUACAGCUUUAAACUCCUGAAUUCCUGCAAUAUGAGAUAUCUAGCAGUGAGGAAAAAAAAAAGACUUGUGAAAUGCUUUCUUCAUAACAUGCCUUUGGUUUGAUUUAGUUCAGGGUUACUGAAAAGUGCUGGUAUUUUAGACCUGAGUGAAACAAAACAAAAGAUAAACCAAAUACUCUCUCACGAGUAAUUUAUGUAGAAAACAUCGUUAAGUAAUAAAGUACUGUAGAUAUCCUUUAUUCCAUUAUGUAGUUUUUGUGUGACUGUAAGCAUGAAAUGUUAUCAGUGAUGCAUCUAAUGUGUGUAUUAAGUUGUUUCAUUGUCUGAAUGUAUUUCAUGUUUGAAAGCCUCAAACUAAGUUUAUUAUCUAUUGGUUUUUAGUCAACUGUGCAUUUUAUCAGUAAAAAAAUAUUCAUUCUGUAAACAAAAGUUGAAUCAGUUUAAUUACUGUUUUAAUAUCUAUAUUACUAGUAAUUGUUAAUGAUACCAGGAUACCUGUAAUGUUACCCAGCAUGACAAGAGAGUAGUUGCAUAAAAACUCAUUAAUGUUAGCUGGAAGUGUUAUGAGGGAGAACUUUCAUUUAUACAUGAAGUUUGUGUGAAAGACCUUAAAAAAUUAAAAUAAACAUACAGAAAUAUUAUUGACAAGAACUGUCUGGGAUUUUUUUUUAGUUGUGAUGAUGUUUUGGAUUCUAUGCUGGAAUUAUUUUCAGGUCUAGAAGAACACUUUAACACAUGUAAGGUAAUGAAACAUUGCUAAAGUGAGAAAUCUCCAGGCAGUGUCUGUUCAUACUUCACUGACCCAAAAUUAUUUAAAGCAAAACUGAAACAUGUUUGGGUUAGGUAGCUGAUGGUUGGUAAUAAACACUAUCUUGUAAAGAAUGUACAUCAAGUUUCCAUUAGGAUACCAUGAACAAACAAGGGUUCCAAGUCUGAGUAAAUCCAUAUGAACAUCUUAUUGCAAGACACUCCUUACUGUACAGCACACCAAUUUUUGAAAAUGAUUUAACAUUAUCCGGUGUAAUAUCCAAAAUGAUUAAUAAUAAUGUAAUUUCACUCACUAACAUUUUAUUUUGUUCGAGGAAAUUGUUAAUAUAAAUAUCAUCCAACUAUUUGAAAAGUAAUUGGUAUAUUCAUGACCUUCUAGUUAUUUUUGGGUGUAAGGAAAUCUAAAUACUUCCCUCUGUAUUCUUUAAAGGUCUUCAGUGGAUGUGGAGUUAUCACAUAGAGUAUAUGUUCUGUAUGUGAUGCACUCAGAACAAAACAGGAUGUAUUAUGGGAAGAUUCUGAUCCAGCUGAACUUUCCUUGUAAGGGUUUUGUUGCAUGUGAUUUGGGGAUUUGAACGUCACCUUUACUGAUGUUAAUUUUGCAGAAGUUAGUCAUCAAUAUUUUUAUAAGACUGUAUUUUGUAAAUAAUUUGCUUAAAGAUAAUAAACUUGAAUCAUUUUACGUUU